GUGUCGCAAUGGGUGGCGGCGGAAUGCUGAUAUCUGUUUGUCCCGUCAAGUUCACUUUCCUAUUUGAGCUGGAUAAACCGUGCUAUUGCAAUCUCAAGGUGGCGAUCAACAGCAAGCAUCAUGUUGCAUUCAAGGUGAAGACACAUCACCGAGGAAGUAUUUCGUCCGGCUGAACAUGACCAUAGUCCAACCAUGGAAUUCUUGCACUGUAAGAAGUAAACACCUGCUUCCAGUUUGGCCAUUAUGUUACGCUGCAGGCGCAGAAAGAGUACCCUCCACAUAUGCCAUGCAAAGAUAAGUUCUUCAUUCAGAGCACUAAGGUAGCUGUCAGUACUAACAUGGACGAGAUUCCCCUUGGUACAGUGAGCAUAAAAUGCAAAUAUAUCAUCUACAAGCUUUAGUGACGCAUUAUUGUUGCGAACAGACGACUACUGACCCACCACAAUAAUUCAUUUUGUAUUGGCCCAGUUCAACAAAGAAGUUGAUAAGAAAGCAGGAGCUUCAGAUCAGGGUCUGAUGAUCUUGCGGUGAGAAUAUAUACUAUAAUGGAAACUUGUGUCACGCUGAUUAACCUUCUGCACAGAGGACUCAUAUGUUUUACACUGUGCUUUGCUGAAAAAUGCAAGCAUGGAGGAGGUAAUGCAUUUGAUCUUAAAGGCAUUUCUCAUUCUACUGGGGAACUGCAACAAAAUAAUACGACAGCAAAUAGAUCUGUGAUAAACUCUGACAAGAAAGUAUCAUGCUAUUUUAGGCAUUACCAUAAUUCAUGGCAUCGUAAAGUUGCCUUUUGCAUAAAUAUUCUGUUACCCUACAUUUUUACUUUUAGUGAGAAAAAUAAUCAUAAUUUGCCAUUGCUCCAUAAGAGUUCAAAUGCAACACACCUGCAAAGUGGUAUUGAGAUACUCCUAUUGAUUUGUUCAUGCAAGUCUUAACACUAGGAAGAUAGUGAAGCAACAACAUAUGGUGGCUAAAAUAACUGUUGGACUUGAGAAAAGCUUCCUACACUUACUGAGGUCAUAAUUGAGGGCAGGAGUGAGGUCCCAGAGGUCUAUGAGCAGGUUGCGUUUGCACUUGUUAAGUGUGCACUGGGACCAGAAUUUGAAUUUAUUUUCGUUUUGACCAUUGCUGCAAAGGACUCACAAAAGAAUCAGUCUAUGAAUGAAAUAUUACCUGCAAUGGAUACAAUCAAAUGUUGUGGUUGGGAGCAAAGUUUUUAGUCAAAAGUGCAGUACAUCCGUGAUGAUGAGCUUUCAUGGUUCCGCAGUGCUCAGCUGUUUGCUGCGCUGACUAGCUUCCUCCUCAACAGUAUCCCGACCAUUGUUACUGUGGUAUCAUUUGGCCCUUUUGUUUGGUACUCAAUAGUCACUUUACCUGUUUUUUCAAUUUAAAUUCGACAGGUUGUUAAUUGUAAGGUGUUGUUGAAACGUCUGCAAGAUCUCCUGGCUGAAGAGAAUACUUCUGGCCAAUCCACCUAUUCAUCCCAAGCUUCUGGCAAUUUCUAUUAAGAACAGAUAUUUUGCAUGUGGAAUCACAGCUACAUCAGUGU